rnacentral:rRNA from 1 species
AACGAACGCUGGCGGCAUGCCUAACACAUGCAAGUCGAACGAGAACUUCGGGUCUAGUGGCGCACGGGUGCGUAACGCGUGGGAACCUGCCUUUAGGUUCGGAAUAACUCAGAGAAAUUUGAGCUAAUACCGGAUGAUGUCUUCGGACCAAAGAUUUAUCGCCUUUAGAUGGGCCCGCGUUGGAUUAGCUAGUUGGUGGGGUAAAGGCCUACCAAGGCGACGAUCCAUAGCUGGUCUGAGAGGAUGACCAGCCACACUGGGACUGAGACACGGCCCAGACUCCUACGGGAGGCAGCAGUGGGGAAUAUUGGACAAUGGGCGAAAGCCUGAUCCAGCAAUGCCGCGUGAGUGAUGAAGGCCUUAGGGUUGUAAAUCUCUUUUACCCGAGAUGAUAAUGACAGUAUCGGGAGAAUAAGCUCCGGCUAACUCCGUG